UGGGGAAUAUUGGACAAUGGGCGAAAGCCUGAUCCAGCCAUGCCGCGUGUGUGAAGAAGGUCUUUUGGUUGUAAAGCACUUUAAGUGGGGAGGAAAAGCUUAUGGUUAAUACCCAUAAGCCCUGACGUUACCCACAGAAUAAGCACCGGCUAACUCUGUGCCAGCAGCCGCGGUAAUACAGAGGGUGCAAGCGUUAAUCGGAAUUACUGGGCGUAAAGCGCGCGUAGGUGGUUAUUUAAGUCAGAUGUGAAAGCCCCGGGCUUAACCUGGGAACUGCAUCUGAUACUGGAUAACUAGAGUAGGUGAGAGGGGAGUAGAAUUCCAGGUGUAGCGGUGAAAUGCGUAGAGAUCUGGAGGAAUACCGAUGGCGAAGGCAGCUCCCUGGCAUCAUGCUGACACUGAGGUGCGAAAGCGUGGGUAGCAAACAGGAUUAGAUACCCUGGUAGUCCACGCCGUAAACGAUGUCUACCAGUCGUUGGGUCUUUUAAAGACUUAGUGACGCAGUUAACGCAAUAAGUAGACCGCCUGGGGAGUACGGCCGCAAGGUUA
rnacentral:rRNA from 1 species